CGCUGCUGGCUACAUUGACUGAAACUUAACACAUAGCAGAAAACAUGCCAACACGUCUGACGUCGUUCAACCCAGAAGGGACAAAAGAACAUGGUUUUAUUUCAAAAAGCAGUCGAGACUCCUUUCAUGGCUUCUGCUAUCUGCCGCCGUCAGCGUAAAGCUGCCAUUGAAGACAUGCGGGAACAGAGAAGCAGAAAGGUAACAGAGAUUUUUUCGAGAAGGUACGUCGCCGUUGGAUGACAACAUCUCCGCUGCUGAGCGGUGUAAGGUUUACAUGCUGUAAAGCACCACCGGUCGUACCGGGGUGUCGACUGCGCCGUGAAGGUGGACCGAGAGAUAUUUAGUGAUUCUCCCAUAGCUCAGGGGAUGAUGUGUGGCCGAACUAAAGCCCAGGCUUUGUGUGCGAAUGUCCUAGCGUCUAGAUGUGAAAUACACGUCUGCAUAUGCAGCAGACAAUGCCAACUAUGGAAAACACAACAGUGUUUAUCAGAAGUUGACACUGACUCAGAAGGACGUGCUACCUGCAAACUGUUUAGCCCAUAUUCAGCACAAUGCAACACGAUAUGCAGCAGGCAGCCUGGAUGUUGAUGUUGAAAAUGCUGUGCUCAAGGUUUACAGACAUGUUAGCAUCUCAGCAAGCAGAACAGCACAGUCGAAGGAAUUCUGUGAGUUUGUGGAAGCGGAAGAAUGCAAUCUGCUGCGGCAUGUCGUCACAAGGUGGUUGUCCCUGCUUCCAUCUAGACCGAAUGCUGAAGUAUUGGAAGCCACUGACCAGCUACUUUCAGAGUGAAGGUGAGGAGGAAUGCACCAAGAUGAUGUGGAAAUGAAUUGGAGAGGAAAGUGUCUGAGACAUAUUUUCUUUUCCUCAGUCACAUUCUCAAAGGUGUUUUCAGACAGCUUUUAAGCACAAACUCAAGCAGCUACCAGCUUACCUUGCAAAGAAAUGUGAGAGAUUUUCUUGGUUUCUAUGAAAGAGCAAAUAAAUACACAAGUGACAGAUACAACUUCUCUGAGACCAGCUUUCAUAGCAAAGUGGCAAAGCUCGGCCUCACAACUGCUGUGCCAUAUGAAGAAUACAGUGAUGCUAUCCAGGCCUGCAAUCUGAAAGACAUUGAUAUGGAUGGACUGUAUGAGGAAUAUGCCAUGGUGGAAGCUUCCUUCAGCUCUCCAGAAAUGGAAGGUUGCCACAGUGAGGAGCGAUAUCUGAAACUGUUUUCCAAAGCAGAUGUACCACUGGUGAAUCUCAGGAAGGUCAGCGCCUACAUUUUCUCCAUUCCAUGCAGCAAUGCACACACAGAACGAGUCUUUUCAAUGAUGACAUCUACAUGGAGAAACGAGAGCAAUCGGCUGGAGGUGGACAGUGUCAAGGCUGAGCUGCAAGUUUGUGUCAAUUUCACCGUUCCCUGCACAGACGUGUACAAGAAGUUCCUUGGAGACAAAAAUACUCUUGGAUGCAGCCAGGAAAAAUCUGAAGUAUUGCAAAUAGAGAAUCAACUAUUUGAGAUGAACAGGCCCAGACUUGUGUCUUGAGCUUCCCAGAGGGUGAAGGUGGAGUUUGCUUGAAUACAGGUGGACUUCUGCACACAUACACGGAUGAAGACGCUGCACACAAGUCCCCAAUUGACUGAAUCACUUUAGAAAUUCUUUACUCUUUGAGCCGGUAAAUGUUAACCAUGUUUUCUUUAUGCUUUUAAAACAUUCAUUUGUUUAUCAUUUAUUAUUUAUGUGACCUGUGAUUUAAUUUGUACAUUUUUAAGUCCACAAAUGUUAUGCUUUGUGGCACUCGGCACUUUAAAAGAUCCAUCUCAGUGGUCAGAACACCACAACGUAUUGAAUAAAUACAUAUACUGUGAACAAGACA